GACGUAGGGCGCGAGCGUUGUCCGGAUUUAUUGGGCGUAAAGAGCUCGUAGGCGGCUUGUCGCGUCGUUCGUGAAAACCUGCAGCUCAACUGCAGGCUUGCGGUCGAUACGGGCAGGCUAGAGUUCGGUAGGGGAGACUGGAAUUCCUGGUGUAGCGGUGGAAUGCGCAGAUAUCAGGAGGAACACCAAUAGCGAAGGCAGCUCGCUGGGACGUUACUGACACUGAGGCGCGAAAGCGUGGGGAGCGAACAGG
rnacentral:rRNA from 1 species